rnacentral:rRNA from 1 species
CCUACGGGUGACAGCAGUGAGGAAUAUUGGUCAAUGGACGAGAGUCUGAACCAGCCAAGUAGCGUGAAGGAUGACUGCCCUAUGGGUUGUAAACUUCUUUUAUAUGGGAAUAAAAUGUUCCACGUGUGGGAUUUUGUAUGUACCAUAUGAAUAAGUAUCGGCUAAAUCCGUGCCAGCAGCCGUGGUAAUACGGAGGGUCCGAGCGUUAACCGGAUUUAUUGGGUUUAAAGGGAGCGUAGGUGGCUUGUUAAGUCAGUUGUGAAAGUUUGCGGCUCAACCGUAAAACUGCAGUUGAAACUGGCAGGCUUGAGUACAGGAGAGGUGGGCGGAAUUCGUGGUGUAGCGGUGAAAUGCUUAGAUAGCACGAAGAACUGCGAUUGCGAAGGCAGCUCACUGGACUGCAACUGACACUGAGGCUCGAAAGUGUGGGUAGCAAACAGGAUUAGAUACCCCUGUAGUC